AGUGAACGCUGGCGGUAGGCCUAACACAUGCAAGUCGAACGGCAGCACAGUAAGAGCUUGCUCUUACGGGUGGCGAGUGGCGGACGGGUGAGGAAUACAUCGGAAUCUACUUUUUCGUGGGGGAUAACGUAGGGAAACUUACGCUAAUACCGCAUACGACCUACGGGUGAAAGCAGGGGAUCUUCGGACCUUGCGCGAUUGAAUGAGCCGAUGUCGGAUUAGCUAGUUGGCGGGGUAAAGGCCCACCAAGGCGACGAUCCGUAGCUGGUCUGAGAGGAUGAUCAGCCACACUGGAACUUGGACACGGUCCAGACUCCUACGAGAGGCAGCAGUGGGGAAUAUUAGACAAUGGGCGCAAGCCUGAUCCAACCAUACCGCGUGGGUGAAGAAGGCCUUCGGGUUGUAAAGCCCUUUUGUUGGGAAAGAAAAGCAGCAGGUUAAUACCCCGCUGUUCUGACGGUACCCAAAGAAUAAGCACCGGCUAACUUCGUG
rnacentral:rRNA from 1 species